UUCUAAAAGGUUUACAAUUAAACAACCAAAAAAAAAAACAUAAAUUAUAAAAAAAUAAAUUUCUAUAACUAUAGCUAAGUAAGUGAUUUAAAUAGAAAUCGCUAUAUAUUUUUAAUUAUAUAUAAAAAUUAUCUUUCAAUAUUAUACCAACGUAACUAACUUUAAUACCACACAAAUUACACCUUACAGCCCAAUGGUAACAAACAGACGGACAUGUAUGUGAAACCUUAACGCACUAAAGCCAUAGGAAGCGGAAAAAAAAAAAUAUUAUUACGUAAACGUAGCUGUGGACUCAUAAAGCAAUUGAACACCUGCCAAUACCGUGACUAUCACCUUAACGUGAAUGCAUUUCCUCAUUAUUAACAAGCAAUAUCCCAGGCUACAUGCAGAAGCCGCAAUGGAUUGCGACAUUUAUGUAUUACGGACAGAGGUGUUUUAUGUUGUGAAGGGUCUGUGAUUUAUUCGUUAUCUUGUGCAACCCUUCAGACCUCACUUUCCAGACUGCACACUCCAUCCAGCAUAAAUAUAAAUCACCAGCGAACUCCUCAAUAAAUAUAUAAUGGUAAGUAAUGAAGGCCUCCGAUUGCUUACUCCGCUUUGUGUUGAAAGUGUGCUGUGAACGAUUUUAUUAAAAUUACACCAAAUAAAUAUAAGUACGU